UACAGAGGUCCCAAGCGUGUUCGGAUUCAUUGGGCGUAAAGGGUGCGUAGGUGGCGGGGUAAGUCAGGUGUGAAAUUUCGGAGCUUAACUCCGAAACUGCAUUUGAUACUGCCUUGCUUGAGGACUGGAGAGGAGACUGGAAUUCACGGUGUAGCAGUGAAAUGCGUAGAUAUCGUGAGGAAGACCAGUGGGCGAAAGGCGGGUCUCUGGACAGUUCCUGACACUGAGGCACGAAGGCCAGGGGAGCAAACGGG
rnacentral:rRNA from 1 species